rnacentral:tRNA from 4 species
AGCCUUGUGGUGAAGAACAUAUUGGAUUGCAAAUCCAAAGACGCAGAUUAACGGUCUGCCGGGGCUU